rnacentral:lncRNA from 1 species
AUGAGGGGAUAAGCCAUCUGAGAAAAUAAAAUUCUGAAAUAGUGAAGAAUAAAGAGUCAGACCUAGAAAAUAGUUUUAAAAGGGAAAUGGAGCACCUGAUAGUUUCUUCUGGUCCACAUAGGAGCUGGAACAGAAUAAACUAGAAAAUGUCUCUGGUCCUUUAUUUCAGGAAGUACAACAAAGGCAGGGGUAAGAUUUCAGGAGAAGUCUUGCUUCUUGGUGU